AAGAGUUUGAGAGACCAAAAAAGUGGGUUUGGGCCCUGCAGUGCUGCACAGACAAGCUGUCUGGUGUCUGGGCACAGUUUCAGUACAGAGAUCCAUAGCAACUCAGUGAUAGAGGUACAAGAUGAGAUGAAAAUCUACUAUGUUGUUUGCUUGAGAUGUGACACAAGGGUGACAUAACUGAGUCCAGGAGCUGAAAAACCCAAUUUCCAUAUGAAGGACUAAAAAGGAACCAUAAAUCUCCAGGAAGAUGGCAGAGCAGGAUG
rnacentral:lncRNA from 1 species